UCUCCGUCAUUUCCACUCCUCCAUUGAAAAAAACAGAUCUCAUCUCUGCUCUUCCUCACACGGCGGAUAACAACCACCGCCCACCGCCAGCAUGUGCUUCAGCCACCACCAAUCGCUCCAUCGGUUUAGUGGACUGAGUGGGGAAAAAUUACCUACAGAUGGGAAACACAUAAAGCAAUAAUAUGGUACUUUCAGCGAUGAUCCAAGGAGCAAAUAGAUCCCCGGUGUGUUUAGCUCGAGAUGUUUUCAUGAAAAAAUAUAUGAAGCCAAUGUGUGUUGACGAUGACAAAGAAGUUGUUACUCAUAAUUGCUAGAGCUUCAGUGAUCUUAUGAAGGAUCUUGGGUACAUG